CCGGGAACCCCGAACAUCCCCUUUCUCUACUCUUUCCCUUUGGAGUCUAUAGAGGGAGAAGCAGAGCCUAAGGCUUCAUCAGUUUGAAUACUGGCUGGGGCUGGGCAAGUUAGUGGCUCAAAGUGUUGAAUCUGUCCCUAAAGCAGGGACAGAAAUGGAGGCUCAGGAGGUAGAGGUGGCAGUGGGCGUGCAGGAGAAGCUGUAGGUCAGGAGGUAGAGGUGGCAGUGGGCGUGCAGGAGAACUGUAGGUCAGAGUGGAGAGGUGGCAGUGGGCGUGCAGGAGAAGGUGUAGGUCGGGAGGUAGAGGUGGCAGUGGGCGUGCAGGAGAAGCUGUAGGUCGGGAGGUAGAGGUGGCAGUGGGCGUGCAGGAGAAGCUGUAGGUCGGAGAGGGUGCAGAGUGGAGAACAGAUGAGCUGGAGUCACACCAUGCCCUAUACCCAGCCAGAGGCCGAAGUGAGCCUGUCACGGUAAUGCCACUGCCUGCUUGAUUCCCUCCCAUGCCUAGCCUGGGUUCUUCAUGAUCCCUGAGGCCCUCUUUGAUGUCAUCCCGCUGCCUCAAAACCUGUGUGUGCUGGUGGCUCCCUCUGCUUUCCUUCCAGAUGACUCCUUCGCUUCAGCUCAAAUGUCACCUUUGGCUGUUAAAAUCCUUUCCGGAGGAAGUUGUAAACAAUGCCUACCCCUCCUCCCGAGGUCUCUGAUUCCACUCCAGGGAAGAUUGCUCUGGGGGAGCCAAUGAGUUUGUUGGGAUUACUUCCAGAGCAUAGGUGAGGGGUUAGUUACUUGAAUAUGAGUGCUGCCCACCAAAAGACCGCACUGAAAAGUCUUUACCCAGCAGGGGUGAUGGU
rnacentral:lncRNA from 1 species